GUAGUUUUCCCAGAUCAGGGUGGGAAAUUAGAAUAGAUAGGCUUUGACAGGCAAGGUGAAGAUUCAUUUUUGGAAUGCCUGCCAUUGUAUCAGUGACAAAACAAUGGAUCUGCACACUGAGUGGAUUACAUCUUUCAUACCAUGAACUCUGUUCACCAGAGAGCUGCUCACAGAAUCAAGUGGGGUUAGGAAUUGCUGGAUAAUAUGAUAACUUCUGAGAUUAACGGCACAGAGAGAUGGGUUUAGUCUUUUCCCACUCCCCAACCCCACCCCCUAAACCCACGCUACCCCAGCUAUCCUAUCAUCCCAUGCGUCUCAUCCCACCUAAUUGGGCAUAAAAUGAGAUAAACAAAGUCUGUCAUUGUUGGAAGCAGUGAUGAUUGAAAGGCAGGGAAGCACAUGGUUGGCAUGGGAUGGAGUUGGAAGGCAGAGCAAGUUGGCUGUGUAGAAAGAAUAAAGAAAAGAAGAUAAUAAGGUAUAUAAGCCUCAUUUUGUCAAGUCAGGAACAAGAGACGGUGACAGUAAAAAGCACCAGUGGCUUCACCUGGAAUAAUUUUAACUCCAUCAAUGCUUCCUACAAUCAAAUAAUUAAAUCAGCCAACUCUCUGGAGAAAUAGUGAAAACAAACUGUUCUGUUCUUAUUCUUAAUUAAACAUUUUCAUCUUAUAAAUUGGAUACAAUUGAAGGUGCACUCGUAGAGAAGGACAAAUUUAGCUUGAAGAUUCCUUAUGACAGAGAGGCACAACACAGCAAGAAAGAAGCGUCUGACCAUACUUGCUUUUUAAUCUGCAAUGCUGGUUACAGCAGAAUUUAUAAUCAGUUGAAGGAGCACUAUCUCAUCGUCUUUAAAAAUAGACUGUUUCCUACUUUGCCUUCUGGUGAAAUACAUUCUGGAUCUGAAAUGAAAGACAUUAUGGAAUAAAUAAAGGAACUGCUGCCCA
rnacentral:lncRNA from 13 species